GAAUCGCUUAAGAGGCAGAAGAACAAUGCAUCUCCCCUCUGAACAAACUAGUAAUAACUACAAGAAACUGUACAGAAUUUAAAACUAACAUCUGCAAGAGCAGGCUCUUGGAGGUAGACAUCAAGACUUCAAAGUUUAGCUGUAGCCUAGCUUGUGGAUGUUUAUGCCACAAGGAGGACCUCCAAAUUUUGAGUAUGCUGCUGCCAGUGUCCUAGUGUAUGACCAAGCAAGCAAGGGGGGAUCCAGGUGUGCACCACACAGCCCUGUCACUGCUCUGGAC